GCCUUCGUGGUGUAACGGUAGCACACUCGGCACGUACGCGAGAGGUCCAGGUUCGAGUCCCGGAGAGGGCA
rnacentral:tRNA from 1 species